CGACGGCCCGCUGCUCGUAUGCCAGUUGGAUCUUCAGUUGUUGCAGCUCAGCUGUCUUUUCCCCGAGGGAGCCAGAAAUCCCCUCAACGGUGCCUCUUAGGGCUUGGAGCUCAUCAGAAUCUCGGGCGGAAGUAAGCUGUGCCCUGCUAGCCAGCUGCCUCUGGAGACGGACGACUUCGUCGGCCACCGCCCUGAAUCUCCCUUUAUAUUCUUCCACCUGCCUGCGCC
rnacentral:lncRNA from 1 species